rnacentral:lncRNA from 1 species
CUGACGUGUGAUCUCCUGAUCUCCUGAUGUCCUGAUGUCCUAUCCUAUCCUAUCUGGGUGUGAACGUAUCGAUUACAGGAGCUACGAAGGGAAAGCGGUGUGCUGUCUGGGCUGUACGGCUUAACGGCUCCCGGUGCAUCCGUACUGUCAUGACUACAUGUGUUGCUGAACACGUUCGUAGUUCGUACUGUACGAUUGUAGGGGUGUUUUUGUUUGUUUGCUCUCCCCGCGGUGAUGCAGGGGGCAAUUGGAUUAGCGUGGCAGGGCACGAACAGUUAGACCGCAUGUCGGUCGGCAUGUCCCAUAAUAUAUGCAGCAUUUCUGUAGCUAGCUGAACGCAUUGGCGAAGGCCACCCUGAAUUUU